UACGGAGGGUGCAAGCAUUGAUCGGAAUUACUGGGCGUAAAGGGCGCGUAGGCGGCUGAGUAAGUCAGAUGUGAAAUUCCGGGGCUCAACCCCGGACCUGCAUUUGAAACUGUACAGCUAGAGUUCAGUUAGGGAAAACGGAAUUCCACAUGUAGCGGUGAAAUGCGUAGAGAUGUGGAAGAACACCGGUGGUGAAGACGGUUUUCUGGGCUGAGACUGACGCUGAGGCGCGAAAGGCAUGGGGAGCAAACAGG
rnacentral:rRNA from 1 species